rnacentral:lncRNA from 1 species
UCCAUUUCUGAGAUAACCUUUGAAUAAUUAAAAGAACAUCCACACACUUGGAAGGUAGUGCUCCUUGCCUCGGUUGCAAACUGUCAUAAAACUACACAGAAGAAUAAGAACCACAUCCACACAAAGAUCAUAGUUUGCACAGUUUCCACAUUUUUGUUGGGGUUUCUCAGACAGAGACAGCUUCAAAAUGGCUCUGAACAGAAUUAAGAAGUUCUUUAUGCGUAAGGAAGCUGAAGAUUCUAAUUUUGUCACGGUGGAUCAGCAACCGCAGGUGACAUUGGAGAGGUAUGAGGAGACCAUGGAGCAGAAAAGUAGGAUUCUGGAGAAUGUGGAGGAGGGGCAGCAGCCAGUUGAAGAAGAGCAGCGGAACCGAAAAGAAGAACUGCAGCAGGAGGAGGUCCAACUGCACCAGUACUUCAUCUCGCUGCUGAAGGAGGAGAAGAAAAUACAGCUGGAACAGAAGCGACUACAGCGGUUGGAGCUAAAGCUAAAGAACAAGCAGCCGAUUAAGAAACAAGACUAUCUGCAGCAGGAGAAACUCAAACUACAGGGGGUUUCACAGGCACUGCAGAAAUUGGAGUGGCAGCAAAUUGAGCAGAUGAAGGAUAGACUUAAAAAGCAAAACGAGCAGCUGAGAGGUGAGGAGAAGAUCCACCAGGAGGCCUCACAAGAGCUGGCUGAGAAACAAGAGUAUCUGCAGCAGGUGGAACUCCAACAGCAGGAGAUUUCACUGUUCCUGCAGGAAAUGCAGAAGAAGCAGGAGGAGGAGCAGCAGGAAAUGGAACAGAUGGAGGAUCAGCUUAAUCAUAAGAGACAGAAGCAACAACUCCUGAAGGAGGCCGUCCGUUGCUUUGAGCAAGACAGCCGGAAGAACAUGGAGCAGCUGCAGCAGCAGCACCUUCUGCAGACACGCGUGAAGCUAAAAGAGAUCAAUCAGAGAGAGCUGAGGUUGCAGGAGCAAAAAGAGGAGCUGAAGAACAUAGUGGAGAAAGUGGAACUCCUGGCAGAAGAAUGUGAGAAGUGGGAGGUGGAAGAACACCGACAAGUGGAGAGGCUGCGUGAGAUGGAGGACAAGCUCCAAGAACUGAUCUCACAGAAGAAGAAAAGCUUGUUCAAAAAGCUGAAACAGAUGCUUCUUUAAAG